UUUUCAACUCUAGAUAUGCUCGAUAGAUAGAUAGUAUGCAAGCGUAUGGAGAUCCAUGUUUCUUCCUAGAGCCAGAUUCUGUCCAUGGAAUGGAGGAUGAGGGUGGUGAAACUGCUUGUAUUUGUGUGUUAAUCAGAAUUACCAAGGCUGCAAUCAAUCUUCUUUGCUCAUCACAAAGAACACUGUAGGGUUCUUUAUUACUCCAAGUACCUUUUCAUAUGCAAGUUAUUAAGAUUUGUAUUGUAUAUCCUUUGUUACGAUGCAGAAUUUGUUGGUGUCAGGUAGUAAAAUGUGCUGAUGUAAAAGGUACCGGUGGUAAAUGACCCUUGUCCUCAUGGCUGUUGCCUUGUGGGUGUGCUUGCAAGCCAGCCAGACUAAAUAAAAGUUUUCCUUUUUUGGGUUUUGAGGGGAGGCUUUUUAGGGCCUUUUGUCCCGAGCCUCCCCUCUGUGUGUGUUUCUGUGCUUGUGUCAGUGUCUCUCUGUUUUAUUUGUUUAUCCUUUCUCCUUUUCUUUUACUUAUAAUUGCAUCUGCCGCGCAUAUAUCGAUCAGUGCAUUGGCAAUCAACUAUCACUCUGCAAGUACAUAUUAUAUCGACCCACUUGACAAAUGGAGAUUAUCUGUCUUCAAUGGCUUACAGCAGUAUGAAUAUUUUGAAAUUUAAUUUUUCCUCUUCUCUUACUUCGAAUUGCAUCGACUACACAUAUAGCGAUCAAUGCAUUGGCAAUCCAUGACCACUUAUCACGAAUGCUGGUCCAUAUGACAAAUGGAUGUUACCCAUGGCUACAAAAGUAUGGAUACCUCAAAAUUUAAUCUUUGCUGCUGUAUUUGUUUAAUGCUUUUCUUCUCAUGUCCCUUAUCUGUUGAUGUUGUUACCCCUCCAUCUCACAUAGAGUGCACAUAUACGAUCAAUGCAUUGGCAAUCGCCGACCACUCAAACUGUGGAUUAUCAGUCAAUGUGAGCCUUUGUUGAUGGCUUACACAGGUGCCAAUAUUCUGUUGUUUAGAUCUUUACUGCAACUAAAUUUUUACAUGUCUAUCAGAGUUAUGGGUCUCUGCAAAUGUAUUUCAUUUCAUUUGAUACACAUGCUCUUAUAUUCCAGGGGAAAAUGUAUUUUUCAGUUACCUAUUAUGUUCCGUUUAUAUCGUCUUUUGUUUACAUGGAUAUAACCAGUGUUUCAGAAUUUGGAAUUGGGCUCCGGAUCACAAGGGGCCCACUUCCAAUUUGCCUAGUGUGAUUUGGGACUCAAGUUGGACUGGUCCCCAUAAUUAAAAUAGAAACAAAAAAGAAAAAUUAUAAAAUUUGAGAUUUGGGGCAAAUGUAGGGAUCCUCAGUUAACAAAUAGGCAAAAGAAUUUAAAAAGCUGGAGAAAUCGGCGCAUUGCAUACGUGAUCAUGAAAAAACCGGUUACAACUCCCAAAUAAUCUUUCAUUUAUGUUGGUUAUGACAUCGGAAAAGUGAAAGCUAGUCGCCUUCAUCUCUUUUAUGUGCAAAGCUGUAGAACAUGUGCUUAUAUGCAUUUGACCAUGAUAGAGAUUGAAUGGCCAUCUCCCUCUCUUGAUUCCUCUCUCUUGUCACUCUGUCUGCUGUUCUUUAGUUGGUCCUCACUAUCUUGGUCUCUCUUUUUCUAUCUUGCUUCAUUUCCCUUCAUCUCUCUAUCUCUCUCUUUCUGCCUCUUUCCUCUUUCUUACUAUUGCCAUUUUCCUCUCUUUGUCACUGUAUCUCUCGCUCAUAUGUAUUGAUUUCUAUAGUUUUGCAUUUCUAUGUUUCUUACAUGCCCUACUUUACAUAUACAUAGGGUACUUCAACUUUGAAGCUAUAAUGGCCAUGGUUCUCUUCGGAUGUUGUAUCAUGUUUAUCAUUGAUUUACAUAUUACAGAGGGCUUUUUGCUCGACUCUUGAUACAUUCGAAAGAUUCUGUGCAACUAUAUGCUUAAAGUGAUCCAUGUUUCUUCCAAGAGCCGGAUUUUCUCCAUGGAAUGCGGGGUGGAGAUUGCUUAAUAUGCUGGUAUUUGUGUGUUGUCUGUAUAAGCAACGUAUGCAGUCAAUCUCCUUUGCUCAUCACAGGGAACACAGUUGGUUACCUUACUACUGCAAUCAUUAAGAUUUUUUAUUGUGUAUCCUAUGUUAGCAUGCAUAAUGCAUAUCCAUGUUAGGAUGCAUAAUGCAUGGUUUGACUAUCAAGUGUCUCCUAUAUUGUUUUUGUUUCGGUAGGUGAUUUGCUGAUAUUAGGGCUAUUGGGUUGGAUAGUGAAAUGGGCCUGAUGUAAUGGGUGUGCAUGGCAAUUGAGUCUUGUCCCUGUGGCUGUUGCCUUGCGGGUGUGCUUGCAAGCCAGCCAGACUACCUAAAUAAAAUUUUAUUUUUUUGGGUUUUGGGGGGAUCCCUUUUAGGGCAUUUUGUCCCGGGCCUCCCCUCUUUGUGUGUUGCUUGUCUUGCGCUUUUAUUUCUUUGUUCUUUCAUUUAUUUUAUUUUACUUUGUUCGAAUUGGAUCGACCGCACAUUUAUCGUUCAAUGUAUUGCCAUUUGAUGACCACUCUGAAACUACACAUUAUUAGUGCAAAACUAAGGGAUGUUAUGCAGAUCAUAAAUGGCUUCCACAGGUAUGAAUAUUUUGAAAUUUAGUUCUGCCUUGUCUUAUUUUGAAUUGCUUUGGUUUUGCAUAUAUCGAUCGAUGCAUUGGCAAUAGACGGCCAUGCUGAAUAUCAGUUCAAAUGACAAAUGGAUGUUUCCUGUGGCUUUACAUAGGUAUGAAUAUCUCCAAAUUUUAUCUUUGCCGCUCUAUUUGUUUCCUUCUCAUGUCUCAUACUAUGUCACGGCAUUUGCCCUCCAUCUCACAUGGGCUGAGCAUAUACAAUCAAUGUAUUGGCAAUUAUCGACCACUCUGAAACCUCGAUCCAGACGUACAAAGUCCAAAUGACACAACGGAUGUGAGCCAUUGUUGAUGGCUUACACAGAGCGGCGGGUUUUCACUUCAUUAACUAUAUGUUUCCGGUUGGCAUCAUCUGUGACUUGUAUGAUAAAAGAAAAACCAUUCAGUUUUCAGGAUUGUUUGAGCUUCUGGCCUCUUCGCUUCUACUAUUUUAGGCUUCUACAAAGUUGACUUGAGCACUUAGGGAGAUGGUCACUAAGAGGUGAAAUCUCAACUUCCGAAAUUUUGAUGAUAAAAAAUUUGAUGAUAAUGUUGUUUCGAUCACCAUAGUUGAGCAAAUUGUCUUUUGUGCUCAUGGAUGUGAAUGGAUUCUUUUCCUUCGUGUUUUCAAGUUCUUACUGUGAUUCUUCUCAUUUGACAAGCUAAGGGCGUGGCUCACUAUUUUGUCUUUGUUAUUUUUCCUUCAUUAGUUAGUGUUUUGUGUCCAUCUUUUAUU